AAAAUAGAGACAAAAAGAUAGAAAGUCAAUUUAAGGGGACGUACAAAACUACAAAAACAGUUUGAAGAAGGAAGUAAAUGGGUUAGACUUUGUCUAUAUAUGCUUUCAGUUUUUGCUUAAUAUUAUAAAUAGACGAAGAAAAAAGGGCUAAAUUUCAUUAUGAUCAUCUCUCUCUCUCUCUCUCUCUCUAUCUUUCUCUACCUCUUUCUUUGUUUCCAUGUUACCGUGGUGUUGCAGGCGGAAGAAGUAGCGGCGCGUAGAAGAUGGUAGGUGGCGCGUGAAUGGAAUUGAAGAGGUUUUGUGGCGGAAGAUGAGUUUUGAUAAUUGGAUGAAGGUAUUGACGUGUCUCAAUUCGAAAGGUACAUGGUUUAAUAUUAAAAAGAGAAGGAAUUGGGAAAUUAUGAAUCUGUGUUAGCCUUAGCCGUGUGUGUUUUCUGAUUGAGCCGCGUCAAUAUCUCUUCUCAAAUUUUGCACCUCCGCCAAGCUCUCUCUCUCUCUCUCUCUAUCAAGAUAGUCAAAUUGGGUCAAGGAAGAUGUACGUGGGUCUAAGUCCAAGUCUAACAAGUACAUGAGUACAAGUUCAAGUCUAGCAAACAAAUUAACCCAAGUUCAAGCUCAACAAGUAAAUGGGCCUAAGCGCAUCCAAAGUCUAUGAAAAUUCUCUAUCAUGACCUACGUAACUUAAUCUUAAUUUUGAGCUACCUAUGAACUUUUGUUCAAACAAAAUUAUCCUUAGAUCUGUAUAGGUGAGAGCAGCUUAACAGUGUUGACCCAAUAAGCCUCCUAUUUCAGGGGUAAGAUCGGGUAAAUGACUAAGGACAUAAGGUGCAAGACGGAAUUGACUCCUAGUCUCUUUAGAGUUAGUAUAUAGGUUGUUCCCUUAAGAACUUAAUCCAAGUAUGGAAUAAGGGACCCCACCCUCUCAUUGGACCAAGAGGGAUUCGGUUUAUAAGUUGGAUCCAAAACCAAUUGUUCAAUAGUGGAUCAAUGGGAGUUAAAGAGCAAGAUGUAGUCUAGGAGGUAAAACGAUAUUUGACCCAAUUGAGGUUACAAACAACAUGUGAAGGAGUAACUUACUGAUUAUUGGUUAUAUCAGAUGGACAUAAAUAUAUCUAUUGUGAAGGGAGUGCAACUAUGGGACUGUAGUGGAAUGAUCCGUUAGUUAUCGAAUGUUGAAUAGCUCGAUCUAAAAGGAUUUAGCCAAUUAAUCUCAGAUCAUUGGAGGCCAUGAUUUAUGGGUCCAUAAGUUCCCCUACUAGCUCAUAUGAAAUUAAUUUAGAACAAUAUGUUUGAAUAAUUCAAAUUAUUAGAAUUAGGUAAAUAGAGAUAAAACUGACAAAUAUAUGUGAUAUAACCGUCGAUUAUAAGUCUUAGAUAGAUCUUUAUGUUUAAAUGUGAUUCAAAUAUUAAAAUUACGAGUACAUACUCAUAUUUGGAAACUUGAAAUUGAUGGAAAAAGUCAAAAUGUUGACUUUUAAUUUUGAAAAGUUAAACUUUGACCGAAUUUAUAUUCAAAUGUGAUUUAAAUGAAUGUGGAUUCAUGCUCGGGAGGUCAAAAUUAGUCAAGAUAGACAAAAUGAAAAAAAGUCAAAGUUUAACUUUUACUUGAAUGGUCAAAUGAUCAUAUUGCCCUCGGAUUAAAGUUAGUGGAAAAAUCGUCAAACAUUUUGUUGGAUAAUCCCACUAACACUUAGUGGGACAAAUGACUACUAUACAGAUGAGAUUUCUAGAGAAAUGUAAUUCGUGGAAUUAAAAUUUGUAAUUUUCAAUAUACUGAAAUGAUGUAAUAAGAUGAUAAGACAUCCCACACUAGAAAAUUUGUAUAUUGAAAUUUUCUAGGUGAAAUAAACUGAAAUGAUGUAAUAAGAUGAUAUUUGGUACCCUAUGUGAUGAGAUGUCCCACACGCUGUAUGUUCUAGUGUGAGAUGUCUUAUCCUUGCUGUGUUAUGCGAUAAGAUGUCCUAUUCUUUCCGUAUGAUCUGAAAUAAGAUGCUUCAUACCUUGCUAUGUGUUUUGGUAUGAAAUGUCUGUUGCUUGUUGUGUGAUCUGAAAUUGGAAGGUGCAUUAUGCGUGAUAAAAUUAAUGGUGAAUUGCUAUUGUGUUGACAUAACUCCGCACAACUGCAACCCAGUAAAAGAGUGUGGUAAACGCUUGAGUUAAGGAAAUGGUAUAAAGAUGUAAUUCAACAUGCAUAUUGACUUUGCGAUAUGAUUUAUAUGAUGCAUAAUGUGAGAUACAUUUUUAUGCAAUAUGAACUAUUAUAAAUUAUUUGAAAAGAAAUGAUUUACCCUUGUUUGUUAAAGAGAUUGAGAUUAAUCACUUAAAAGUACUAAAAUGAUUUGAUUUGAACUUAAUGGUUUAAUUUGAAAUGCAUUACCAUCUAUAUCGCCUGGUUUUGCAAAAUGAAUUACAACGUUUUACGGCUAAAAUUGAUUUAUUAAAGGUGUUGGUGAAAGACCCCACUCACUAGACAUUUUUGUCUAACCUUUCAAAUAUUUUGUUUUAUUCUCCCCCUCCUCGUGGUAGUAAAGGACACUCAACAAUCAAUUUGUCAUCUUGAUCACCUAUUCUGUCAUACGUCAUCACAUCAUCUUGGUAAUGGUCAUAUUAGCUCGUAUAGCAUGUAGAGUUAGGCGAGCAAAUUUAAGUUGUUGUUUUAAAAAUUAUACAUAUUUUCAGUUUGAUGAAUCUCUUGUAAAUGUACUAUUUGAACAAAUUUCAAUAAAUCCUUUGUUAUUUGAAAGGAAUUCCCCUCUCCCAUUAAGUUUGUUGGUAUGUUUAUUCUGCUUAACUAGGCGUUCUGCGUGCUAUCUUACAUAGAGAUUCACGUUGAAUAUCUACCCAAUCUACCUCCUCAUGGUCACAUGCAAUGGAUUUGGGACAUGGCGUGACAAAUUUGUUGUAUGCAUUGAGAUUACCCUGCACAAUCGCAACUCGACGAUGAGAGUGUGUUGACACUUAAGCUGAUGAGAGUACAAAAGAUGAAAUUUGGUAUGCGAGGUGAUUUUGCAUUAUUUUAUACAAAACACAUAAUGUGAAAAUAUUCUUCUUAUACGAUAUAAAUUAUGAUGAAAUGAUUUUACGAGGGAAUGAUUUCUAUGAGAUUUAUGAACACUUACCAAUGAGAUUUGAAGGUGAAAAUCGCCUAAUGUAGCGAAGGACCUCUAGUGUUUGACUUGUCAUCUUAAUCACUUGCUGUGCCAUAAUCAUGUCACAUCAUGUCUCAUUAGUAAUCAUUAGACAAAUUGCAUGGCAUGUACGGUUGGGCAAGAUGAAAUAAAUGUUUCUUUUUUCUUGGAAACAACUUGUAUAUUUUUUAUUUUGCCAGAACUCACUUUGUACUUACCUCAAAUAUAUUGAAGUUUGAUUGCUCCAAA